rnacentral:tRNA from 1 species
GCAGUCGUGGCCGAGAAAAGGAUGAGGCAAUCCGGGGCUCAGCAAAAUCCAUUGGGGUUCCCCGCACAGGUUCGAAUCCUGUCGGCUGCG